CCUUUUAUAUUAACUUCCCCCCUUGCCGUAGUUCCUGGUCCUCUCCACAAAGGCGUAUGAGCUCUGUGAUUUAACCCUGUCACUGCGCAGACAUUAGCAGAAAGGUUGCAGCUGCAAGUCAGCGAGCGGAGAGACAGCAUGUGCAGACACCAGAAGUGGGCACAGUAUUCCAGCAGAGGUCACACCUAUGCAAAAUACAGAGAUGAAAUAACCUGGUGUACUGCUUUCGUAAGACUCCAUCUUAUUCCCUUAAUGGAUUCUUCCAAACUUUGCACAUGGUAAACAGGACGGGGAUUCAACCACUUGGACUGAAAUUUUGAAGGCCAGGUCCCCAAUCCUGUACUAGUAGAGCCCCUGCCUCUGGAUCCUGUCAGCAGUGUUGGGCGCAUUAUGCCACCCUCAAUUUGCUGCUUGUCUUCCUACCCUCAUUACUCAGCACUGAGUAGUGGGCUUGUCACUGGAGCUGGACAAUGCCCAGAGAACCUGGACAGCAUUAGAUCAGAGGACACAGAUGAAACAGCUCCAAGUUGGUUUUGCUCAUCCCUGAGACAAGGUGUUCAAGAGGAUGCCGAGAGUGAAGACGAGGAUGGCUAUAUGGCUUUAAGUAGGGCAACUGGCAUAGAGCUAUCUGAGGCCAGGUCUACACUUAAGAGUCAGGUUGAACUAGCUAUGUCAGUGUGAAAAAGUCACACCCCUGAUCAAUGUCGUUAAGCCAACCUAACCCCCGUUGUAGAUGCUGUGAGGUCGAGAGAAGAAUAAAGUGCUAUAGUAAUAAAAUGCUAUUAUCCCUGUUGGAUAAUGAAAGGGUUAGUGAACUGUACAAAAUGUGUCUGGGUAAGUGGUCACCCUGACCAAAACCACAGUCUGGCAUGUUUGAGUGGACCCUGGACAAAGCUAAGUGAGAGUGUCUUCUGAUGUGAGUGUCUGCCUGGUGGAAACGACUCAACUUAGGGUCCUAUAUGCUACUAAUUUCCUCUCUGAAGACUUUGCAAGGACAUGGUGCAGAGGAAGCUUUCAUGCACAAGAGGUGGCUUUGAGGCAGGUGAUGGUGCAGAGGUGGCUGUUGCUAGAGCCACAGGGGGCAACACUGUAGCUGAAGAACCCCAACGUAGGCCCCACUACCCAGCAAUCUAAGCUAUUGCCACCACCCCUGUGUCAUGUGGUAAAGUGCCAGAGCAGACCAGGCUGCUCCUUCCCUUUGUGGCUAGAGAUGGAGCUGCACAAACUCUGGACCCCACCAAUCUCAAACAACAAAGAGUGAGUGGGGGGGGGGGAGUGCAGUGAAGAAGUGGGAAGAGGGAAGUGGCUAUUGCAGAAAUACUUUGCCUUACUGGACACUCACACCAGGAGAGGAGGACUCUGUUGAAGACUGUUGUAAGACACUCUGGAGGCAGGGAGAGUCUUAUUUUAUUUAUAUAUAUGUACACAAAUAUUGUUAAUUAAUUAUUACUGGCUUUUCCAAGUUUAUUCUGUUCCCUUUCCCUGACCAGUGGCUUGCCCAUAGGCUGGAGAUCCUGGGGCUAAGGUUGCCCUAAUUUUACAAGCUGAGAAGAAUCAGCCCCACCUGAGAGGAAUCAGUGUUCCUGAUGCCUUUGGCACAUGCUGCCUUAUAGCCUCGAGUCCUAGGGAAGGAAGUUGUGUGUAAAACUUCUCAGCUCCUCAGUUCAUACAUAACAGUUCAUCUUGGAAGGAUUGUCUGUGGGGAUGUUAGACAUUGUCUGGUAUUCAGAGAAGAGUUGGAUGAAGGGUUCCCAGCCAAAGGCUUCCUGAAGCUGAAGAGCAUGAAAAAACAGUAUUAAAAGUGCAUCAUACUUCACUAAGGAUGCUGAUCCCGAACCCAUUGAGGAUUUUGUUGCCAGGAUAUUCAGCCAGAACAUUUCGGCCCUCAUUCUGAGAAGCCCACCACCAAGCCUGACCUCCAAUCAGCAGGCCCCCUCCUUCUGCCACAAACUCAUGAAUCUUCUUGGCCUCAUUGUCACUGUAGGACUGGCAGCAGUAGAUGCUGAGAUUGUCGCACCCAGCCAGUGAAUGGCAUUGAGGAUGAAGUCUGUGAGCUUCGGGGUGCUAAGAUGGACCUCAUGUGUAGCCACCACCACACGGCCCCGGCCAUAGUGAGCUGCUGCAAGAAAGCAUCGAUAGGUGCCAUCCAAGCCAAGGGGGAAGGCCAGUGUGCCAUGGACCAGCAGAUACUCACGGAGCAAUCAAGGGAAUUGCAGGCACUUUGUCUGAGACGCUGAAGAUCCCCCUCUCACCAUAUAUAUCCGUGAAAUAAACGCCGCCCACGCUGGUUACGUGGUUCCCAGGGAAAUCGAACAGCACUCUCUCUGCACUGUGUCCAGAGGCCCAGUGCCAAGCCUGACCCCCAAUGAGCAGACCCCCUCCUCUCUUCACAAACUGGAUCAGCUCCCUCCCCUGUGCUGCAUCAUAGGCAUCCAUACAGUAAACCCCAAAAGAGGCAAUGAGCUCUGUACUGGGCUGCACUUGGGUGCCAGAACUACUGAGAAUGCCCACCAGGGAGCUCAAGGUCUUCUGGACACCAACCACCACUCCUGGGGAGGGACUGAGCCAACCCACAGCAUUGCGUAGGAACCGAGACAUCUUGGGAGACCCCAGGUAGCUCUCAUGGGAGAUGACCACCAUCCGGCCCUUCCCAUACUGUGAGGCGGCAAUCAGGACCUGCCCCCGGGGGUUCACCAUCACUGGGAAGGCAGUCUCACCAAUGAGCAGCAGCUCACAAGGAACAGAGUCACCAGUAAGAUCCCAGUCCUGGACACCAUCCACCAGCAAAUCAUAGGCAGCUGAAGGAUCCAUGUUCAGCUUUGUCUUGUCUACAGGAAAGACAAAUAAUAGUUUUUCUUAUACUAAAGACAGUCAGAAGAGGAGUUAUUUAUCCUUCUUUGCCUCUACUGGAUUAGUGUGAAGGACGCUCAGAUACAAGCACAGGCUACAAUCAACAUGUCUCAUUCCUAGAGAUAGAAAUUUACCUGCCUCCACCUCCUCCCCCACCAGUUGCUCACCGAAAAUGCUUGUUUAGACCCGCUUUGGGGGUAGGUGACUGGGACACUGUCAAACCAGCUCAGGUUAGGAUCAGCGGACGAGUAACCUGUGUAUGAACCUAAAGGCAUGUUGAGAGGCAUUGCAGUUGUAAUCAGGACAAUACACUUGUGUGUGGGCAUCAAAGAGAUACUAAAAGGGAUUAACAGGCUAAGCCCAUUCACAUGUGUUGAUAAGAAAUCAAGGAAGACACUGUGUGUAUGUGUGUCUAUAUCCUGUAACUGUAAUUAAUCUUAAGAUCAAAGGUGUGUACAUACCGCAUGAAUUAAAUGAAUAUUACCUA